AGGUUCUCUCGUGUGGUCCAGUCGCAUCCCGGGAGGGAUGGCCUCCCGUGUGUGAGGACCCUGAGGGCUUCAGGGACUGGGCGGUUGUGUCUCUUUAAAGGACCUGGGGCCAGCCCCGGGCAGCCCCAGAAACCCACCAACCACCGCCAGCCAGCGUGGACGAAGCAAUGAGUGAAUCAGAGAUGCACGGCUUAUAUUUCCCUUAAAAUAAAUAUAUGCUAAGAAAUCAGAGGGGAAGGCGGUUGGCCAAAUGCAUUUGGGGUUUUAAUCAAACCCAAGUUAUGUGAAAAACAGCCUGAAAUCCUCCAGUAACAGAGGCCACAGAGGAGCCUGGACGGUUGGCCUCAGCGUGGAUGCUGGAGGUGAGUUGGGGCUCUCCUCCUGCGUGGGGGGCUCCUCCUGACUCCAAAGCCGGGGGACUGAUGCUAUUUACGAGUGAUGAGGCCACAGAGAUGAAUUUAUAAAUCUAAGUCUGAAAUAGACAUGCCCGCAAUAAAAGCGGCUGUUUUUUCCAAUUUUCCCUUUUCAGAGGGGCCGAAAAUAAUCCUUUUGGGACAUUAUGGAGACAACACGAGUAGCUAGAGGGCAUUAAGGAGGAGGACAAGGCUGGCAGACAGAUGUUUUGUUUUUAAAUCAUGAGUCCAUCACCUUGAACCUGGGCAUAAUCAGACAUCUAAGAAAAGUGGAUGGAACAGCUUUAAAAGUAACUACAGAAAGACGGCCCUGUGAAUCCACCUCUUGGGGAGCAGUGAGGGAUUCCUACUGAGUUUGCUUAUGGACGUCACAACAGCGAUGCCCCUGAAUACACGUGUGAGAAUAUUGGAGGCGAUUCUGUCCUGAACUGGAUGCUGAGGGAUGGUGCAGGAGACAGGGUCUGUGUUGUUCGCCAUGGUUCUGCCUUGGCACGAUGCUGUUGGGAGGGCUGGAGUGAUCACAGCCCCGGUGCAACCUGAGGGAAAAUAAGGCAGGUCUCUGGAUUCAUGCUCUGAGAGAUAAGAAGCUUUGUGAUGGUAUAACGAUUCAAGCCCACCCUCCCGGCAAGCAGGAAACCCUCUGACUGCUCAGCUUCAGACCUGGGAAGCUGGGACCAGCCGAGCAAGCUGCCAACCAGACACACAGAGGACUUUGGUCGAGGUGGCAAGUUGGGCGUGCCGGGCCAGGUGUGCCAGGCCAGGUGUGUGGUGCAUCUGCCCGGCCCUCGUGCCAGUUCUUCGGCUCAGCUGGAAAUCCACAGGGAUGGAUAGCCCCUGGCCCCUGACGCUGGAAACUGUGCCCCAUUCAUGAGCAAAGGAGCGAUAAUCCUCACAUGCCACGUGCAAGAGAACGCUGUGUUUGCACACGUGUCCGGGGGAGGCAGCCUGGGCGGUAACGGAAGCCCUCUCAGAAAGCAGCAGAAUUCUCAGUUUCAGUUUAUAAAAGACCCCAAACUUGGCUGGAGCUUGUGGGCUGUCUGCCAACAUUUGGCCGGAGUUUGCUGGAAGCUCCCUAACCCUGGAGCAGACGUUCGCAGAGGCUGGUCCCACAGUGGAGUCUCUGCCGCGGGCUGGCAGCGUUUCCAAGCAAGCCGGCAGGCUGGGAGCGCACCUGGGCUGAUUUAUGCCUCUGAUUGGGAGCAAGCUUUUCCUUUCUCGAUAGGAGGGGUGAGGCCGGGAGAAAAGACGGAUUUGAUCCAAAACCAGCUCCACAUACCACCCGUCAACUGACCGCUCCAUCUACUGACCGCUCCAUCAACUCACCACUCCGUCCUCUGUGACAGCUGCUGGCCUUGCAGGAGGAGGCCCACACGAAGGGGCUGCAAUGCCUGGCCGCCCUGGGGGACGGCAGGCU
rnacentral:lncRNA from 1 species